rnacentral:rRNA from 1 species
GAUCCUGGCUCAGAAUCAACGCUGGCGGCGUGCCUAACACAUGCAAGUCGAACGCGAAAGCCCCGCAAGGGGCAAGUAGAGUGGCAAACGGGUGAGUAACACGUGGGUGACCUGCCUUCGAGCGGGGGAUAACGUCCCGAAAGGGACGCUAAUACCGCAUAACAUCCUGCUUUUGAAGAGGUGGAGAUCAAAGCCGGGGAUCGUAAGACCUGGCGCUUGAUGAGGGGCCCGCGUCUGAUUAGCUAGUUGGUGAGGUAACGGCCCACCAAGGCGACGAUCAGUAUCCGGCCUGAGAGGGCGGACGGACACACUGGGACUGAGACACGGCCCAGACUCCUACGGGAGGCAGCAG